GGUCUAAUAGUGUAGAGGUUAUCACACGGGAUUUUGAUUGAAAUUCAACCAGGUCUUCUCUAAAUUAUCACCUUCCCGUAACCCAGGUUCGAGUCCUGGUUAGACCU
rfam:Lentinula edodes NBRC 111202 DNA, contig: scaffold677.